UCCGGUUUGUCACCGGCAGUCUCGCAUGAGUCCCCAACUUAAUGCUGGCAACAUACGACGGGGGUUGCGCUCGUUGCGGGACUUAACCCAACAUCUCACGACAUGAGCUGACGACAGCCAUGCACCACCUGUGUAAGUGUCCCGAAGGAAGACCGUGUUUCCACGGCUGUCACAAACAUGUCAAGCCCAGGUAAGGUUCUUCGCGUUGCAUCGAAUUAAACCACAUGCUCCGCUGCUUGUGCGGGCCCCCGUCAAUUCCUUUGAGUUUUAGCCUUGCGGCCGUACUCCCCAGGCGGAGUGCUUAAUGCGUUAGCUGCGACACCGAAGGGCAAGCCCCCCGACGUCUGGCAUUCAUCGUUUACGGCGUGGACUAC
rnacentral:misc_RNA from 1 species